UUCUCCACCGCAUCCACAUCUCUACCUAUUUUUUCUUUCAUAUAACCAAACCCUAAUAAUUGUUGUUUCUUUCUUCUCCAGUCUCCACGCAUCCAGCAUUCCCUCCUCUUCCUCUCAUAAAACUAUUUCUUCUGCUACCAUUUCAACUUAUAAAAUUUGGGGGAUUUUAAGUCGCGGAUUUGAAUUAACUAGCCGGUGUUUUUGAUUUGCAGAUGAGGUUAACUAGCCAGUGUUUUUGAUUUGCAGAUGAGGUCUACCAGUUCGAACCAGUAACCAGGAAUCAAGACGGUUGGCGCAGUCUAAAGGAUUAUUUGUUUGGCGCAGUUAUAGGAAAAAUAAACUACUCCUGAUGAUAGUUAGGAACUUGAUGAGACUCUCCACAGAGAGGUGAUGUGGGUGGAGGUUGGCAUCAGAUUUAUCACAUGUGUUUCAAUAGAUGAUGAAUAACCUACUUCUGAAAGGCUCUGUCUUUUCCAGUAUUUGACUCUGCUAGCAAGUGGGUGGUGGAUGCUUUGUCUGGUGGGAUUUACUCUCAUCCCAAGAAUUGAUGAUACAUGAUGAGGACACAUUCUAUUUUAGACUCCAAGCAGUAUAUGUCGCCAGUUGCUCAGGAUGUGAAGCCACUAAUGACGGAAAUAUAGCAUAUGUGCAACAGUCGGGCAGCUUCAAAAGCAAUAUCACUUGGAAAUUUAUAGUGGUCUAAGAUGUAGCCAGCAUCACAAGGAUAUGGAAUUCAGCAAUGACGGAAUCAUAACAUAUGUGCAAUAGUGAGGAAGCUACAAAGCCCGAGGACAUAGUUAGCGUACACCAUGAGAGGGAAUCGAAUUAGAGAAUAAUCUACUAAGAUAUGUCAAAAUUCUUUAUUCUGUAACAAACAGUAAAUCCUCAAACUAAGUAAACAUAUAUUUAGCUUAUUUUU